rnacentral:rRNA from 1 species
AAUAUCCUAGUGGCGAACGGGUGAGUAACGCGUGAGCAACCUGCCUUGUACAACGGGAUACCCGAGGGAAACUCCGGUUAAUACGGUAUAAGACCACACUACCGCAUGGUAGAGGGGUAAAAGGAGAAAUCCGGUAUAAGAUGGGCUCGCGUCGCAUUAGCUAGUUGGUAAGGUAACGGCUUACCAAGGCGACGAUGCGUAGCCGACCUGAGAGGGUGAUCGGCCACAUUGGGACUGAGAUACGGCCCAGACUCCUACGGGAGGCAGCAG